rnacentral:rRNA from 1 species
UACGUAGGGCGCAAGCGUUGUCCGGAAUUAUUGGGCGUAAAGAGCUCGUAGGCGGCUUGUCACGUCGGGUGUGAAAGCCCGGGGCUUAACCCCGGGUCUGCAUUCGAUACGGGCUAGCUAGAGUGUGGUAGGGGAGAUCGGAAUUCCUGGUGUAGCGGUGAAAUGCGCAGAUAUCAGGAGGAACACCGGUGGCGAAGGCGGAUCUCUGGGCCAUUACUGACGCUGAGGCGCGAAAGCUAGGGGAGCGAACAGG